rnacentral:rRNA from 1 species
GACGAACGCUGGCGGCGUGCUUAACACAUGCAAGUCGAACGGAAAGGCCCUGCUUUUGUGGGGUGCUCGAGUGGCGAACGGGUGAGUAACACGUGAGUAACCUGCCCUUGACUUUGGGAUAACUUCAGGAAACUGGGGCUAAUACCGGAUUGGAGCUCCUGCUGCAUGGUGGGGGUUGGAAAGUUUCGGCGGUUGGGGAUGGACUCGCGGCUUAUCAGCUUGUUGGUGGGGUAGUGGCUUACCAAGGCUUUGACGGGUAGCCGGCCUGAGAGGGUGACCGGCCACAUUGGGACUGAGAUACGGCCCAGACUCCUACGGGAGGCAGCAGUGGGGAAUAUUGCACAAUGGGCGGAAGCCUGAUGCAGCAACGCCGCGUGCGGGAUGACGGCCUUCGGGUUGUAAACCGCUUUCGCCUGUGACGAAGCGUGAGUGACGGUAAUGGGUAAAGAAGCACCGGCGAACUACGU